rnacentral:rRNA from 1 species
UACGUAGGGUGCAAGCGUUACUCGGAAUCACUGGGCGUAAAGCGCAUGUAGGCGGAUCUGUAAGUCAAAUGUGAAAGCCCUAGGCUCAACCUGGGAAUGGCAUUCGAUACUGCAGAUCUUGAAUGCUCGAGAGGAUGGCAGAAUUCCUGGUGUAGAAGUGAAAUUCGUAGAUAUCAGGAGGAAUACCGGUGGUGAAGACGGCUGUCUGGUGAGACAUUGACGCUGAGGUGCGAAAGCGCGGGGAUCAAACAGG